GCUUGUCUCAAAGAUUAAGCCAUGCAUGUCUCAGUACAAGCCAAAUUAAGGUGAAACCGCGAAAGGCUCAUUAAAUCAGUUAUGGUUCCUUAGAUCGUACCCACAAUUACUUGGAUAACUGUGGUAAUUCUAGAGCUAAUACAUGCAAACAGAGCUCCGACCGGAGACGGAAGGAGUGCUUUUAUUAGAUCAAAACCAAUCGGUGGCGGGCUCGUCAUCGUCCAACUUGGUGACUCUGAAUAACUUUACGCUGAUCGCACGGUCAUCGCACCGGCGACGCAUCUUUCAAAUGUCUGCCUUAUCAACUGUCGAUGGUAGGUUCUGCGCCUACCAUGGUUGUAACGGGUAACGGGGAAUCAGGGUUCGAUUCCGGAGAGGGAGCCUGAGAAACGGCUACCACAUCCAAGGAAGGCAGCAGGCGCGCAAAUUACCCACUCCCGGCACGGGGAGGUAGUGACGAAAAAUAACGAUACGGGACUCAUCCGAGGCCCCGUAAUCGGAAUGAGUACACUCUAAACCCUUUAACGAGGAUCAAUUGGAGGGCAAGUCUGGUGCCAGCAGCCGCGGUA
rnacentral:rRNA from 1 species